UCAGCAGCCGCGGUAAUACGUAGGGUGCGAGCGUUAAUCGGAAUUACUGGGCGUAAAGCGUGCGCAGGCGGUUUGCUAAGACCGAUGUGAAAUCCCCGGGCUUAACCUGGGAACUGCAUUGGUGACUGGCAAGCUAGAGUGUGGCAGGGGGGGUAGAAUUCCACGUGUAGCAGUGAAAUGCGUAGAGAUGUGGAGGAAUACCGAUGGCGAAGGCAGCCCCCUGGGCCAACACUGACGCUCAUGCACGAAAGCGUGGGGAGCAAACAGGAUUAGAUACCCUGGUAGUCCACGCCCUAAACGAUGUCAACUAGUUGUUGGGGAUUCAUUUCCUUAGUGACGAAGCUAACGCGUGAAGUUGACCGCCUGGGGAGUACGGUCGCAAGAUUAAAACUCAAAGGAAUUGACGGA
rnacentral:rRNA from 1 species